CAGCGGUGGAGAGUGGCGAAAGGGUGAGUAACGCGUGGGUAAUCUACCCUCAAGAUGGGGAUAACUCCGCGAAAGCGGGGCUAAUACCGAAUGUGGUUAUUCGUCGCAUGACGAAUGGACUAAAGGCGGGGACCUUCGGGCCUGCCGUUUGAGGAGGAGCCCGCGUCCCAUCAGCUUGUUGGUGAGGUAACGGCUCACCAAGGCUUACGGGUAGCCGGCCUGAGAGGGUGAUCGGCCACACUGGGACUGAGACACUGCCCAGACUCCUACGGGAGGCUGCAGUCGAGGAUCAUUCACAAUGCGCGAAAGCGUGAUGAUGCGACGCUGCGUGGAGGAUGACGGCCUUAGGGUUGUAAACUCCUGUCAUGCGGGAAGAACGGUCUCGUGCCGAAUAAGCACGAGAUGUGAUGGUACCGCAAGAGGAAGCCACGGCUAACUCUGUGCCAGCAGCUGCGGUAAUACAGAGGUGGCAAGCGUUGUUCGGAUUUACUGGGCGUAAAGGGUGCGUAGGUGGUUUCGUGUGUCGGAUGUGAAAGGCCGCCGCUCAACGGCGGGAUUGCAUUCGAAACUGCGGAGCUAGAGGCCAGGAGGGGAGAGCGGAAUUCUUGGUGUAGCGGUGAUAUGCGUUGAUAUCAAGAGGAACACCGGUGGCGAAGGCGGCUCUCUGGAAUGGUUCUGACACUGAGGCACGAAAGCUGGGGGAGCAAACAGGAUUAGAUACCCUGGUAGUCCCAGCCGUAAACGGUGUGCACUUGGUGUGGGCGGUAUUGACCCCGUCCGUGCCGGAGCUAACGCGUUAAGUGCACCGCCUGGGGAGUACGGCCGCAAGGCUAAAACUCAAAGAAAUUGACGGGGGCCCGCACAAGCGGAGGAGCAUGUGGCUUAAUUCGAUGCAACGCGAAGAACCUUACCAGGGCUUGACAUGUAGCUGCACGCCCCGUGAAAGCGGGGAAGCCUUCGAGGGUGCUACACAGGUGCUGCAUGGCUGUCGUCAGUUCGUGCCGUGAGGUGUUGGGUUAAGUCCCGCAACGAACGCAACCCCUGUGUCUAGUUGCCACCGUAGGUGAUGAGCCUGCGAGCACUCUAGGCAGACUGCCUGUACAAACGGGAGGAGGGUGGGGAUGACGUCAAGUCCGUAUGGCCCUUACGCCCUGGGCUGCACACGUGCUACAAUGGUCGGUACAGAAGGAUGCAAGACCGCGAGGUGGAGCAAAUCCGUAAAGCCGACCCCAGUUCGGAUUGGAGUCUGCAACUCGACUCCAUGAAGUUGGAUUCGCUAGUAAUGGCGCAUCAGCUACGGCGCCGUGAAUACGUUCCCGGGCCUUGUACACACCGCCCGUCACAUCAUGAAAGCCGUCUGCACCCGAAGUUGCCGAGCCAACCCUCACGGGAGGCAGGUCCCGAAGGUGUGGGUGGUGAUUGGGAUGAAGUCGUAACAAGGUA
rnacentral:rRNA from 1 species